AUCCACCCCUCUCUACAAACAAAAAAUAAUAAUAAUAAUUUGCUUGUACCUGGUAUACAAGUACAUUUUCAUAUUACCAACUCAUGUUAGCUUAGAUGGAUCAAAUAGACAUUUAUUGUAUACUCUAUUUAUCUCGUUUGUGUGACACCUUACUUAUUAGGAGGUCAUUCAUUCUAAAACUAUUAUAAUUUUAUCACGCUUAACUCUUUUAACUUUUUGGAUCUAGCUACCGCCUAAAAUAUUAUAGCCGGGUUAAGAAUUUUAGUCCUAUUAUAUCUUAUAUAUAGAACCAUAUCGAGUCUCACAAUUUUUUUUCCUUUAAACCUUGAUGUACUUGUCAGGCUCAGAUUCAUAAAUAUCAAGCGAUAUAAGACUCGUCUCGCUAGCCAUAACCGAUUUUGUGGGAAAGCCAUGCUAUACCCACAAUAGUCAUCAGUAUGAAAGCCUUACUCUUCUCGCCAUAUAAUCUGGCUCAAUCGAGACUUAUCAUUGGCUAAUAAUUGGCUCGCUCUGAUAUCAAUUGUGACGUCCCACUUCACAAGGGUCACCCAUCAUAGGACUACUCUAGUCCUAUCACGCUUAACUCUUUUAAUCUCUUGGGUCUACCUAUCGUCCAAAAUGCUAUAAUCAGAUUAAGAAUUUUAGUCUUAUUAUAUCUUAUAUA
rnacentral:lncRNA from 1 species